CCUACGGGAGGCAGCAGUAGGGAAUUUUGCGCAAUGGGGGAAACCCUGACGCAGCAACACCGCGUGAAGGAUGAGGGUUUUGGGGUGUAAAGCUCUUUCAAUAGGGACGAAUUUUGACUGUACCUAUCCAGUAAGCACCGGCUAACUCCGUGCCAGCAGCCGCGGUAAUACGGAGGGUGCAAGCGUUCUCCGGAAUCAUUGGGCGUAAAGCGUUCGUAGGCGGUAUGUCAAGUCAGAUGUGAAAGCCCGGGGCUCAACGCCGGUACGGCAUUUGAUACUGGCAAACUAGAGUGUGGUAGAGGUAAGGGGAAUUCCUGGUGUAGCGGUGAAAUGCGUAGAUAUCAGGAGGAACAUCGGUGGCGAAGGCGCUUUACUGGAACAUUACUGACGCUGAGGAACGAAAGCGUGGGGAGCAAAUGGGAUUAGAUACCCCAGUAGUC
rnacentral:rRNA from 1 species